GGCAACCAGAUUCAUACCUGGGAAGAAUUCUUCACACAGUUUGGCUAUGAUAUAAUUGUUAUUGACAACUGCAGAAACUGAAUUUGUCUAUAUUUUAAUUUGGAAAUUAUUCAUAAGUUACAGGGCUACAGAGGGAUACAUGAAACAGGAUAACAUUUUCAAGUAUAGGAUAUCAAUAAAUGAUUUUAAUUUGUAUGUAGAUUUAUAUUAAAUUCCUCACUUCAAACCCAUAUAUUCAUGGGCUACUACAGACAUAGGCAGCUUUCGGCAUUCCAGAUGUUUUAGACUACACUUCCCAUGAUGGUUUGCCAGCAUUAGGGAUAUAAGAGCAUUAUGGGAGAUGUAGUCCACAACAUCUGGAGUGCCGAAGGUUGCCUAUCCAUGGGCUAGAUGUUGUUUUGCUUAGCAAAUGAAUGGAAAACGCAGAUUAACUCUUUCCCUUUUUGAGUUCUAGCAUUGUUUUUUACCUGAUCGAUAUAUUUCUCUUUAAGGGGCUCCAUAAUGUCUUUGCCAUUAUCCUACCCUCACCCCCAAUCUACAACUCAAGAGGCUGAAAAUAUUUGCAGGUCACUAAAGGCACUCAGAUAACUUUGUCUCAAUAAAGGUGCCUGGGUGCAGUGUCCUUUUAGUUGUAUCCCUUUAAUUUAAAACAUUGAUGUUUAUUAGAUCUCAGGAAGAAAAACGAGUUUCAUUAGUCAUGUGACAUUUGACAUCCUUGAGGACACACAACGUCUUCAAAUGCAUCUCACAGGGAAAUAUUGAAUUCAAUGCUAUCCUAUGAGAAGCAUUUGAUUGGGCAUGCAUGCACAUCUCAUACUCAAUGCUCAUCUAUGAGGAGAAUUUGAUUGGACACUCAUUGUGGAAGUGACACCUCCAGGAUGAUGUUGCAGGAGGCAGAGUGUGCAGCAGCACCAUGUGAAUUUCGUUGCUGGAAAACCAAAUUUCUCUUGGAUUAGGAUACUAUAGUUUUAAUAAUACACGUUUGUAUUCCAAACGUUAUAGUGUUCCUUUAAAGACUGAAUAUUAGCAAUCAGGUAAGUGAAGAGUAAGGCCUUUGAUCAUAAGGUACGUCUUCCCCAUACCUGUAUUCUAUAGAUUUCAUAUUUUAGCCAGGCAACAACUUUUUUAUUUUCUGGUGGCAUUCUUAGGAACAUGCUUUUCGAAUCUUUACAUAAGAAAAGUAGUUGACCUAUUUAAUUGAUCUAUUUUUGUCACACCUAUUGUGUGUAAUAAAAACUGGUAUUUCUGCUAUGCUUAUAUUUAAUAUUCUGCUUGAUGUACU